rnacentral:rRNA from 1 species
CUACGGGAGGCAGCAGUGGGGAAUCUUGCACAAUGGGCGCAAGCCUGAUGCAGCGACGCCGCGUGAGGGAUGACGGCCCUCGGGUUGUAAACCUCUUUCGGCAGGGACGAAGCGAUCAGUGACGGUACCUGCAGAAGAAGUCCCGGCUAACUACGUGCCAGCAGCCGCGGUAAU